rnacentral:tRNA from 1 species
GUUUUAGUAGUUUAAAUAAAACAUUGGUCUUGUAAAUCAAAAUUAAGAUUACUCUUCUAAAACU